ACAUAACUUUGACCGAAAUCGCGUGGCGUGAAAAGUAAGCUACUCGUAGUACUAUAAAUCACUGUCUUGUUACAUUUCCUACCAAAAUCUCUUCCUCUGUUAACCAAACGCCUCACUGCUUCUCCGACGACCACCACCGUCGUCGAGAAUGCUUCCGCCGGUGGUAUCUCAUCGUCUUUCUCACCUUGCGGGUUGAUUGUUGAUGAUGCUUCCGCGUUCUUCUUGGUUCAUUAUCAAUGCCGACGCUGCUUUUACUCACUCGUCUCUCCGUUGAUAAUGCCGGUGAAACCCUAUCACCAGCGUUCUUGUUCUGCAACAUGCAGUGAUGGGUUUCUUGAUUCAGUUCCAAUGUGGGGUUUUGCAAGGGGUUUUCGUUCAUCUUCUAGGAAAAUAUCUCACGGGUAUGAAGAUGGGUUUCUUGGUUAGUUCAGUUGGCCCUCACACACCCAGAAAGGGUUCUGCUUGGACCAACACCGUCAGAUUAGGGUUCUUGAACAGUUCUUGCAGGAAGGAUAAAAAUAUUGCAUUUUUCUUUCAUCUCACAAGGGUAUCCUGAGAGGGAAUCUGAAAGUUGCAGAGGAGCAAGUGCCACGGUUGGAGCUCAUAGUCAAUUUGUCAAAAAGUAUCUUCUGAAUGAGGUGGCGGACAACUCUUUUCGGGUAGCCAAAGAUAAGGCUGGAUGUUGAGUGCUGCAGCAGUACAUUAUCCUUGCAAUGGGAGAAACCAAAAUGCGGUUGAUUGCUGAUAUCACAGUAAAUGCUGCCCUUCUAGCUGAGGAUGCUACCAAAGGGAUGCCUAUAUGUGAAGCAUUAACUUAGAUAGAGCAGCAGCUUAUCAUAUUCGACGUGGUGCAUGUGAAGUACUAUGCCGAGCUUGUGCGUUUUCAAGAACCCCUGAAGCUGGAUAAUGGUAUUAGCAUUUCAGAUCAUGACUCGGCUUUCGUCUUCGUUUUGAUCUGGUAUCAGUGUAUUGAUAAAGAUCACACCAGUUACGUGUCGUAUUUCUCCAUAUGAUAUCCUCUGGUAUGACGGUUUGUGUGUGGUCCUGGACCUGAAUGGAUGAGGCUUCGGCGCUUCUCGAUUAGCUCCUGGAAGCACUUACAUGGAAGAGGUUCAUGUUAAGUUCUUUCUCUGUUAUAUAGCUGGGGAAGAAUUGUACUUUACAGUUGGCUCUCAGCACAUACCUUUUGCUUCAUCCCCUCGGGAUGUGUGGACUGAGCUAGGACGUCCCUACAGUAUUGAGUGAUGGGUUUCUUGAUUCUGUACCAAUGUCGGGCUUUGCAGUGGGUUUUAUUUCAUCUUCUUGGCCUGCUCGGGAAAUUAUGGUAUUUCGUUCUUUUUUAUGGGUCUUGGCGCUGCUACGGCUUCCACCCUCAGCAAAGCUUCAAUCUCAACCCUAGCAUUAGUUUUCUUGGUCCCAUUCCCACUUAAUAUUCAGUGAUGGGUUUCUUGAUUUGAUACGGAUGUCAGAUUUUUCAUGGAAGGAUGAAAAGAUUGUGAGCCGAACAUUUUUCUUUCCUCUAGGAGCAGAACAUGUC